AGGAAUUUUUCAAAACCAAGGGUCAGAAUAAAACUGUGUGCUGUGAUACAUGUUUUUUAUCUGCAGACACCAAGGACUCGAGAACCUGCUAUAGACAUGAUCAUAGAGAUGGCAAAAUACCAGGAUGUUAAGACUCUUGGAAUCAUCCCAGAGCUUGUGUCUCAUCCAUUCAAGGCCAAACAACCUCAAUGGCGUCUCUGCAAGAGUCGGUUAGAAAUCUUCGAAAAGCUGCUGCUGRUUUUUGAACUGGAUACAAAUAAAUCAGGAAGCCUUCAUUCUUCAGCUCUAAUGCAGGUAAACCAUC